UACGUAGGGUGCAAGCGUUAAUCGGAAUUACUGGGCGUAAAGCGUGCGCAGGCGGUUCGCUAAGACAGAUGUGAAAUCCCCGGGCUUAACCUGGGAACUGCAUUUGUGACUGGCGGGCUAGAGUAUGGCAGAGGGGGGUAGAAUUCCACGUGUAGCAGUGAAAUGCGUAGAGAUGUGGAGGAACACCGAUGGCGAAGGCAGCCCCCUGGGCCAAAACUGACGCUCAGGCACGAAAGCGUGGGGAGCAAACAGG
rnacentral:rRNA from 1 species